rnacentral:rRNA from 1 species
AACGUAGGAGACAAACGUUAUCCGGAGUUACUGGGCGUAAAGGGCGUGUAGGUGGUUUCGUAAGUCUGGCGUGAAAUUUUUCGGCUUAACCGGGAAAGGUCGUCGGAUACUGCGGAGCUAGAGGACGGUAGAGGCGUGUGGAAUUCCAGGUGUAGCGGUGAAAUGCGUAGAUAUCUGGAGGAACACCGGUGGCGAAGGCGGCAUCCUGGACCGACACUGACGCUGAGGAGCGAAAGCCAGGGGAGCAAACGGG